rnacentral:rRNA from 1 species
UUGACCUCAAAUCAGGUAGGACUACCCGCUGAACUUAAGCAUAUCAAUAAGCGGAGGAAAAGAAACUAACAAGGAUUCCCCUAGUAACUGCGAGUGAAGCGGGAAGAGCUCAAAUUUGAAAUCUGGCGGCUCUUUGACCGUCCGAGUUGUAAUCUAGAGAAGUGCUACCCGUGCUGAC